UAGCUCAAAACUGUUAAGUCUAAGCUGAGAAUGAGCUAAGGCUUGUGCAACAUUCUAAUUCAUACAAAAAUGACAUUAAAAGCAAUAUUCAGAGAAAGAAGGGUAAUGGAGACCCAGUUAUGGCACAGAUAGUGUAACUUUAACAAUGUCACAGAGGAGGCAGGACGACCGACUGGUUCUACUUACAUCUUCUCUGUUAAGGAUCUUCAUAUUGGAAGGGAGGGAACAUCAUCACCAUUAUGAUGGAACUGAAGACCUAAAUUGAUAAAAUGAUGGGCCUAUGUGAUUUUCGUGCUGCCUUUUGCUCACAGCCUGUGUUUUACGAGUACAUCUUCCCUGAAGAAAACUGGCCCGGCUUGUAGUUGGAACAAAGUAUAAUUUCCUGAGUUGGAAAACAACAUUAACGAUAACAGUAGCAGUAACAUCAACAGAGAUCACAACAACCGAACCCAGAAAAUCCAGCUGGAGCGUUGAGAGAACAUAAACAUAGAAGAUGAGAAUCUGCUCACUUUUAACUCCUUCUUACACAGGUGAGACAAUUGCUACUCCUAAUCUAUAAUUUAUAGAUUUAAUUAAAUAAAAAUUAUGUUUAUAUAAUAAUUUUAUAAGGUAGCACAUCAACUCAGGGAGGGCAUGAUGGCUUAUUUAAUAAAUGUGUUGAGAAAACUGGGUAACGGUUUAUUUUAUCUCAUAAUAUUCAUCAAUAUAAAUUCUAAGUGUAAUAUUAAUAUAGAUGUAUAAAACAGGUAUACUGUGACUUGAAAAAAGCAAAGGUUCACCAUUCAAUUUCCAACUUAUUUUUAUCAUUUAUUUAUUUAUAUAGUGUUUAAAUAAUCUUGGAUGAGCAAAGCUUUUCUAUACAUGAACCUAUGAAAGCAACCAUGAAAGAAAAUUGACAGGUUUGAGGAAGCAAAAAAACCAAACAAACAAAUUCUCAGAGGGGUACCCUGUCAAAAACCACAAUAAACAAUCUUGCUGGUAGAAAAGAAAAUAUGAUGAAUUUUCUGAAGCAUAUUUUAACUGCUUACAUCACAAAGUCUUGGAGUUUUUCUUAUUUUUUGACAAAUUUCAAGUGAAUCAUUCUCGGGAAAUAUUUAUGGAUAUACAUAAAUGGACAAUGUAAGGGUUCAUAUCACAGACUGUUAACAGCAAACCAUUGGUAACAAUAAUGAAGGAUGAGAUGAAUGAAUUAUAAACAAAGCUGUAAUAGAGUAUGAAAUAGUGAUUAAAAGAGUGUUGUAGAAAAACAUGGGGAUAAUACAGUGUGCAAUGGAAAAAACAGUGCGGAAUAUGUGCAAGGUAAUUAUACAUUUGUUUUUAAAAUAUCUGUUUUCAGGACAGAGACUGAAAAACUGUGAAUCAACAUUUUUAAUAGUGUUUAUUUACCUCCACAAUAUGGGAUAAUAUGUGAUUUUCUAUUUUGACUUACCUGUGUUUUCUGAAUAUUUUACAACAAACUUGUGCCACUUUUGAAAUUAAACAAUGUGAAAUGAUUUGUAUAAGUGUAUUAUUUUUCUCACAAGUAGGUAUAUAAAACCCCUCUAGGCCCCAUUCUGAUCCUUAGCUUUGAAUUGUUUCAUUAUGUAGAGGGGAAAAGCUGAGAAUUUAUCUCUGGGGUCCUUAGGAACUUUCUCUAUGCAGUUAGUAAUGGAUUUUGGUUGGGUGUCCAGCAUAAAUUUCACUCCAUGGCCCUCUUUUCUCCCUGUCCAAGUUCUUGUGUGAAGACGUAAAAAUGUGACUCCAGAAUUAUUUUACAUUGUGGCCAAAAGAAAUGGUUUCAGUGGAGAUAUCUAAACAGUGCUCUUGUAUCUGUCUUGUUUAAUAACUCUCUCUUAAUUGAAAAAUGAAGAAGAAAAAAUAAAAAGAACUGUACUGGUUUGGAAAAUACUUUUAGAGAUCACUGUCUCCAACUGUGCUUGUUCCCGCUGUCUGCUAUGGUCCAUUAGAUAAACAUGGUGUUCAGCAGCCAGGCGGUUGUUGAUAUAUUUGGCAACACUGAUAAUGUGAUCUAUGUUUAGGAGGAAGUGGAUGGUCAUUCUGUGGGGCAUAGGUUUUCUGAAAGCGAUUGUUCCUUUCGCAGGGAAAAGUUAGUUAGGUCAUUGGACCUUAAGUUCUCACUGAGAGUUUGAGCAUUUUUAAUUUGUCAUUUGUACUUUUUUUCUGUUGUUUCUAUUGGAAUUUUAGAUCAUUCUUUAGGCUUAUUCUCAGAGGCAGCAGAUACUAACUGAAAAGAAAUGCAACCCUGGUUGCUUCUGACUCUAGAGAGUAUAAUUAGUGUAAUAAGGAAAAUGGAGAGGCUUGUCAUCUUAGCAUAUCUCUUUAAUAUCCAGCAGUCACAAUUUUUAGUGUUUUCAUUUGUGACCUUCAAGU